GACGAACGCUGGCGGCGUGCUUAACACAUGCAAGUCGAACGAAGAGCGAUGGAAGCUUGCUUCUCUCAAUCUUAGUGGCGAACGGGUGAGUAACGCGUAAUCAACCUGCCCUUCAGAGGGAGACAACAGUUGGAAACGACUGCUAAUACCGCAUACGAUCUAAUCUCGGCAUCGAGGAAAGAUGAAAGGUGGCCUCUAUUUAUAAGCUAUCACUGAAGGAGGGGAUUGCGUCUGAUUAGCUAGUUGGAGGGGUAACGGCCCACCAAGGCGAUGAUCAGUAGCCGGUCUGAGAGGAUGAACGGCCACAUUGGGACUGAGACACGGCCCAGACUCCUACGGGAGGCAGCAGUGGGGAAGCUUCCGCAAUGGACGAAAGUCUGACGGAGCAACGCCGCGUGAGUGAUGACGGCCUUCGGGUUGUAAAGCUCUGUUAAUCGGGACGAAAGGCCUUCUUGCGAACAGUUAGAAGGAUUGACGGUACCGGAAUAGAAAGCCACGGCUAACUACGUG
rnacentral:rRNA from 1 species